ensembl:lncRNA
UAUUCAGACUCUUAAUGCAACUGUAACUCCCUGAAUUGGGUGAUAAUGGCUGUGAAACUCUGUGUGUUCCGCUAGCUCGACAAAAUACAGCAGGUGAGCAGGGGAACUGACCCCAUCGUUUUGUCAAGGGGGUAAUACUAAUCAAGGAUGUAAACACAAAUUUAGUAAUGAGGUGACCAAAGUCAUUAAUGAAUCAACUAGUUGUUGUAUUUAUUUAUUUUUUUACAGCUGACUAAGUUGACACUGACAGAGAGGGUCUGUUAGUGAAGUUUGUGAUCAGUUGUUAGGUAACAUUCUGGCUCUAUGAAGCUGAAGAGACAAUUCUGAAUGCUUUUCCUCAAAGCUAGAGAUAAAUAAGUCCGGUCAAACCAUUAACUGUGACCAGUGGACUAAAGUUAAGACUGCCUCUACAUCAUCUGCCUAUAAUGGUGUCAACUUGAUUCUCAGGAAGAAGAUUGGUCACUGGUGAUUCGAUGGCCUACGACUGAGACACUAUGACCACAAAAUAUUGAAAUGGUACCCUGCUGCCUGUUUCACACUGAGAUUGGUCCAUGGAUUGGUUCAGAUCAUACC